CUUGCUAUCCAGAGAGCGGCGUACGGGUGCGUAACACGUGUGCAACCUGCCUUUAUCUGGGGGAUAGCCUUUCGAAAGGAAGAUUAAUACCCCAUAAUAUGGUGUCCGGCAUCGGUCGCCAUUGAAAGCCUCGGCGGAUAGAGAUGGGCACGCGCAAGAUUAGAUAGUUGGCGGGGUAACGGCCCACCAAGUCGAUGAUCUUUAGGGGUCCUGAGAGGGAGAUCCCCCACACUGGUACUGAGACACGGACCAGACUCCUACGGGAGGCAGCAGUGAGGAAUAUUGGACAAUGGGUGGAAGCCUGAUCCAGCCAUCCCGCGUGAAGGAUGACGGUCCUAUGGAUUGUAAACUUCUUUUGUACAGGGAUAAACCUGCCCUCGUGAGGGCAGCUGAAGGUACUGUACGAAUAAGCACCGGCUAACUCCGUGCCAGCAGCCGCGGUAAUACGGAGGGUGCGAGCGUUAUCCGGAUUUAUUGGGUUUAAAGGGUCCGUAGGCGGGCCUGUAAGUCAGUGGUGAAAUCUCAUAGCUUAACUAUGAAACUGCCAUUGAUACUGCAGGCCUUGAGUAAAUUUGAAGUGGCUGGAAUAAGUAGUGUAGCGGUGAAAUGCAUAGAUAUUACUUAGAACACCGAUUGCGAAGGCAGGUCACUAAGAUUUAACUGACGCUGAUGGACGAAAGCGUGGGGAGCGAACAGGAUUAGAUAUCCUGGUAGUCCACGCCGUAAACGAUGCUAACUCGUUUUUGGAUCUUCGGGUUCAGAGACCAAGCGAAAGUGAUAAGUUAGCCACCUGGGGAGUACGUCCGCAAGGAUGAAACUCAAAGGAAUUGACGGGGGCCCGCACAAGCGGUGGAUUAUGUGGUUUAAUUCGAUGAUACGCGAGGAACCUUACCAAGACUUAAAUGGGAAUUGACAGAUUUAGAAAUAGAUCCUCCUUCGGGCAAUUUUCAAGGUGCUGCAUGGUUGUCGUCAGCUCGUGCCGUGAGGUGUUAGGUUAAGUCCUGCAACGAGCGCAACCCCUGCCAACAGUUGCCAUCAUUCAGUUGGGGACUCUGUUGGGACUGCCUACGCAAGUAGAGAGGAAGGUGGGGAUGACGUCAAAUCAUCACGGCCCUUACGUCUUGGGCCACACACGUAAUACAAUGGCCGGUACAGAGGGCAGCUACCUGGUGACAGGAUGCGAAUCUCGAAAGCCGGUCUCAGUUCGGAUUGGAGUCUGCAACUCGACUCUAUGAAGCUGGAAUCGCUAGUAAUCGCGCAUCAGCCAUGGCGCGGUGAAUACGUUCCCGGGCC
rnacentral:rRNA from 1 species